UUUGAAAGUAAAAAUCGUAACAAGGUCUUCGUUGGUGAACCAGCGGAGGGAUCAUUACUGAGUUUACGCUCUACAACCCUUUGUGAACAUACCUAUAACUGUUGCUUCGGCGGGUAGGGUCUCCGCGACCCUCCCGGCCUCCCCCCUCCGGGCGGGUCGGCGCCCGCCGGAGGAUAACCAAACUCUGAUUUAACGACGUUUCUUCUGAGUGGUACAAGCAAAUAAUCAAAACUUUUAACAACGGAUCUCUUGGUUCUGGCAUCGAUGAAGAACGCAGCGAAAUGCGAUAAGUAAUGUGAAUUGCAGAAUUCAGUGAAUCAUCGAAUCUUUGAACGCACAUUGCGCCCGCCAGCAUUCUGGCGGGCAUGCCUGUUCGAGCGUCAUUUCAACCCUCAAGCUCUGCUUGGUGUUGGGGCCCUACAGCCGAUGUAGGCCCUCAAAGGUAGUGGCGGACCCUCCCGGAGCCUCCUUUGCGUAGUAACUUUACGUCUCGCACUGGGAUCCGGAGGGACUCUUGCCGUAAAACCCCCCAAUUUUCCAAAGGUUGCCUCGGAUCAG
rnacentral:rRNA from 1 species